GGCCGGGCGGCCGCUGCCGCCCGCCCGGACCGCUCGGACCGCCCGGACCGCCGCGGGGCGACGGGCCCGAGACGGCGCCCCGCGCCCCGGAUUCGUCUCGGCUCGGCCGCGCGUAUAUUUCCCUUCCUCCAUGAUCUCCAACACUGAUAAAGUGGAAGAAACUGAGGUACCAAGAAACAGAAAAGUAACUGGGACUGAAAAAAAGAAAGAGAUCUGUGUGGAAGGAUGUCCAUGAUAGAUUUUACAGAGAGAGAAGAAGAGAAAGGAAAUGAAUUUUUAUGCUUCUGUACAACUUGAAAAUUUUUCAACAUACAGCUCUACUACAGAACUGGCAAUGGUCAGUUUAAUUGUAAGUACAUUACUAAACUUACAUGUUUUCUGAUACAGAGUUCCACCUCUUAUCAUCUAGAGAAACAACCCUAGAGAAACAACCAUUAUUACACUUGUGCAUGAGGUGAAAUGUACAAAGAUGUUCAUUACAACACUGUUUGUAAUAGCAAACAAUUAGAAACACUCUAAAUCUCCAACAGUAAUGAAUAACUACACAGCAAUCAAGAAAAAUGAGUUACAUCUACAUAGUAAGAUUCCUUACUGUAUUGUUAAAUGGAAAACAUGCUGUAAAACAAUAUAAACAUUAUGAUAUCAUUUAAUUUAUAUUCAGA